AGAGAGAGGAGGAGGAGAGAGAAACAGACUAACAAAAAGACAGACAGAUAAAUAGGUAGAGCGAGAAAGAGGGAGGAAUGUUGAUAGAUAGAUAGAUAAAUCGAUAGAUGCAAAGAGAGAGAGAGGAAAAGAGAGAGAGAGAAAGAGUGAGAGAUAAAGAGAGCGAGAGAGAUAAAAGAGACAGAGAUAGAGAGAGAGUGUUGUUAUGUUAUGACUGUAUUACUUCUGCCAACUUAUCAUGAGUCACAGACCGUCCACGUGGCUGUUACCCCAUCAACAAAAGCCAAUCACUUCAGCAGGGCUGGAAGUUGCAGUCAGAGAUUGCGUGUGUGCGCGCACGUGUUAGUAUGGAUGCGUGUGUACACGCACGGGCACGAACACCUACUUAAACACACAGACACACACACACACACAAGUUCCGUUGCAAGCCCCACCUCCAUCAAGUAUUGCGAUAUAUAAAAGAAGAACGUCAGAGAAACACUUGACAGAACAGAUUUGCCGAGGUUAAGCGAACAUUAAACUGUAAAAAGUAAACAACGACUUUCCACUCGUUCCUUGCUGCUAUUAAUUCUAUCGGCGUCAAGAAUCGGUAAAGUUGAUGAUGACUGAUUUCUUUGUGGCGAACUACAUGGACGAAUACGACAUAAUGAGCAUGUACCGUGACCAAUACAUCCAUGUUGGCCACAGUGGUAAAGGUCGAUCAAAGAAAGAAGCCAGAGAACAUACCAACAGACAUGAUCCUAAUGGCCAUAACCGCAAAACCUUACAGAAACUCAUGAAUAACAGUUAUAAGAACAGAGCACGAUCGAAUUCCAAGUAAGUCUUAUAGAUUUCAUUUAAAUAUCGAUCUUUUUAUUGCGAAUCUGUUAUGGAAUUAACAAUAAUUGAAAUAAGACAUAACUGAAAUAGUUAACUGCAGUUCUAUGUAAGAAAAAGAUAGCUAUGGCUAUAUUCUAACAUAUCUAAACUAUAAUAUAUGCAGUUAUUUCACCUGUUAAAAAAAAUAGUACUUUAAUCCACUUAUGCCACACCCUCCCGAAUUAAAAGGGAAAGACACGUUGGGCCUUGUACCAGGGCUUACCACCUCUCCGCAUUCUCCCACCUUCCAGAUGAACACGGCUGAGGUUCCUUUGAUAAUAGGUUUACUUAAGGCUGACCUGGAGCUAAAUAAGACCAGGAUAUGUUUGGAAGGUACAGUAAGGAGGAGUAGAAUCUUCUUUGACAGAUUUUUUAAAGAGAAUCCUCGACGGUGGAAGAGCAGCAAUGACCACGAUCUUUCUUAGUGCCACCAUGGCCUUUGCAAGUGGCAGAAAGCAACCAAGAUUAUUUCUAACGAGUUUAUUUUCAAAUUCCUGAAAACAAUCGGUAGAUAUUAAAGGAGUAAGACCAAAAAAACAAAAAAAAA